UUGCUUGAUUUAUGCUGUCUUAGGUGCACACUUAUAGUGUGUCCUCGGUGAUCCAGAUGCUGUCCUGUCCCUCCAACUACUAGGGAUGGCAAUGAGUCGGGUGUGGGUUGCGUAGCCUAUCAUUCAUACUCACUCUAUAUUUGUUUCGGGGUAGGUAGGGCAGGUAGGUGUAAUUAGAAGGAGUAGGAUAAGAGACAUACCAGAUCAGAUAAUGAUAUAAUUUUUUUUUUGGGC
rnacentral:lncRNA from 1 species